AGCGAACGCUGGCGGCAGGCUUAACACAUGCAAGUCGAACGGGCGUAGCAAUACGUCAGUGGCAGACGGGUGAGUAACGCGUGGGAACGUACCUUUUGGUUCGGAACAACCCAGGGAAACUUGGGCUAAUACCGGAUAAGCCCUUACGGGGAAAGAUUUAUCGCCGAAAGAUCGGCCCGCGUCUGAUUAGCUAGUUGGUGUGGUAACGGCGCACCAAGGCGACGAUCUGUAACCGGCCUGAGAGGGCGGCGGUCACACUGACAUUGACAUACGGGUCAGACUCCUACGGGAGGCAGCAGUCGGGAAUUUUGGGCAAUGGGCGAAAGCCUGACCCAGCAACGCCGCGUGAAGGAUGAAAUCCCUCGGGAUGUAAACUUCGCAAGAACGGGAAGAAUAAGUGAAAGUU
rnacentral:rRNA from 1 species